rnacentral:lncRNA from 1 species
CUUCUUGGUAACCACAGGUCUUGGAGGUACAUUUUGUUGCCCUGGCUUAAUUUUUCUUUUUAUCCAUGUAUUGUUAUUUGUAAAUGAUAUGGUUUCGCACUGUGUCCCCACCCAAAUCUCAUGUUCUGUGUCCCCACCCAAAUCUCAUGUUGAAUCAUAAUACUCAAUGUCAGGGAAGGGACCUGGUGGGAGGUGACUGGAUCUAAACCAAAAAGUAUUUGAGACAAGUCUGAAUCAAUUUAGAAAGUUUAUUUUGCCAAGGUUAAAGACGUACCUGUGACACAGCCUUAGAAGGUCCUGAGGACACAUGCCCAAGGUGGUUGGGCUCCAGCUUGCUUUUAUACAUUUUAUGGAGACAUAAUACAUUAUGGGGAAAACAAAGAGAGAUCAGAUUGUUACUGUGUCUACGUAGAAAAAGGAAGAUAUAAGAAACUCCAUUUUGAUCUGCACUAAGAAAAAUUGUUCUGCUCUGAUAUGCUGUUAAUCUGUAACUCUUGUCCCAACCCUGUGCUCACAGAAACAUGUGCUGUAUUUUUCAUGCGUGUCCGUGUGAACAGACCACCAAACAGGCUUUGUGUGAGCAAUAAAGCUUUUAAUCACCUGGGUGCAGGCGGGCUGAGUCCGAAAAGAGAGUCAGUGAAGGGAGAUAGGGGUGGGGC